ACUCCUACGGGAGGCAGCAGUGGGAAUAUUGCACAAUGGGCGCAAGCCUGAUGCAGCCAUGCCGCGUGUGUGAAGAAGGCCUUCGGGUUGUAAAGCACUUUCAGUCGUGAGGAAGGUAGUGUAGUUAAUAGCUGCAUUAUUUGACGUUAGCGACAGAAGAAGCACCGGCUAACUCCGUGCCAGCAGCCGCGGUAAUACGGAGGUGCGAGCGUUAAUCGGAAUUACUGGGCGUAAAGCGCAUGCAGGUGGUUUGUUAAGUCAGAUGUGAAAGCCCGGGGCUCAACCUCGGAAUAGCAUUUGAAACUGGCAGACUAGAGUACUGUAGAGGGGGUUAGAAUUUCAGGUGUAGCGGUGAAAUGCGUAGAGAUCUGAAGGAAUACCGGUGGCGAAGGCGGCCCCUGGACAGAUACUGACACUCAGAUGCGAAAGCGUGGGAGCAAACAGGAUUAGAUACCCCGU
rnacentral:rRNA from 1 species